UACGAAGGGGGGCUAGCGUUGCUCGGAAUCACUGGGCGUAAAGGGCGCGUAGGCGGCGUGACAAGUCACUUGUGAAAUCUCCGGGCUUAACUCGGAACGGUCAAGUGAUACUGUCGGACUAGAGUACAGAAGGGGCAACUGGAAUUCUCGGUGUAGCGGUGAAAUGCGUAGAUAUCGAGAGGAACACCUGCGGCGAAGGCGGGUUGCUGGGCUGAUACUGACGCUGAGGCGCGAAAGCCAGGGGAGCGAACGGG
rnacentral:rRNA from 1 species